CGUCCGGCUCAUGGAUCGGGCUUAUGUGGCGGCCCGCGAGCGACGCGUAUGGCUUCCUCGGGUGGGUGGACUUAACCGAGAAGGAGUUUGACGUGUGCAGCGCGACGGGCUGCAGCUACACUCAGGGGGAAAACUGUGGCGCCAUCAACCCGACGCAGGACUACACGUGGGAGACCGGCGACUGCGAUACACCGGCAACGUACAUCUGCGAAAUACCAUCGGAUUCCUACUCUAAUUUCUACGACCGACUGCUGCUCAAACCCUUGCUUCAACGGAGGCACGUGCCGUGAUUCUCUCGUCGGCUACACUUGCUUCUGCAGCGGCAGCCGGGUUCGCAGGAGGGCGCUGUGAAGAACCGGCGCCACCUCUGAACGUGGACGGGCAGUGGGGGCCGUGGUCUCUCUAUGCCGAAAACGAAUGCAGCGUCUCUUGCGGCGGUGGCGAGUGGGUGUCGACUAGGCAGUGCAACAACCCUCUACCCCAGGGAGACGGACGACCAUGCCCAGCCGGUGGCAGAAGCACGCUCGUAGAAUGCAUGACCCAGCCUU